rnacentral:misc_RNA from 1 species
AAAUUUUAAGGUCCUCCAUAUCUGCAAAGAUAAAAUAGUGAUGUGGUUGGGAAUGUUCCAUUCCAACUAAAAGUGAAUUUGCUAAGAAUGUAGCAUUAAGAAAGGAAAACUUUUGGAUGUUAGAGCAAGCAAGCCAUUUUCAACAGUGACCUUAUAAUUUAGUCCAACUGUAAAAUUUAUGCUUAUACCGUACCAGGCCAAAAGGAAUGAAGACUCCCUAGAUUUAAUUGAUCCAAACUGGACUAUCAUUUUAGAAUAUUGCACGUUACAUGAUUACACAUACAAACAACACAAUCAUAAAAUUUUUCAGGAUAUGAGAUUGUGUGUUUGCGUGCAAACAACAAAUAGUCAAUAAAAAAAUUACAAAAAGGUGAAACCUUUAUGAGGAAAAAGUUUCACCUUAAGCUCAAAAUAAUAGGAACUAAACUAGCGAUAUGCUACCACCUGUUGACAAAUUUUAUCUAACAUAUUACCUUGAACUGCAGCAUCCCAGGAAG